rnacentral:rRNA from 1 species
CCUACGGGUGGCAGCAGUGGGGAAUAUUGGACAAUGGGCGAAAGCCUGAUCCAGCCAUGCCGCGUGUGUGAAGAAGGCCUUCGGGUUGUAAAGCACUUUCAGUGGGGAAGAAAGCCUUGGGGCUAAUACCCUCGAGGAAGGACAUCACCCACAGAAGAAGCACCGGCUAACUCCGUGCCAGCAGCCGCGGUAAUACGGAGGGUGCGAGCGUUAAUCGGAAUUACUGGGCGUAAAGCGCGCGUAGGCGGUCUGAUAAGCCGGUUGUGAAAGCCCCGGGCUCAACCUGGGAACGGCAUCCGGAACUGUCAGGCUAGAGUGCAGGAGAGGAAGGUAGAAUUCCCGGUGUAGCGGUGAAAUGCGUAGAGAUCGGGAGGAAUACCAGUGGCGAAGGCGGCCUUCUGGACUGACACUGACGCUGCGGUGCGAAAGCGUGGGUAGCAAACAGGAUUAGAUACCCCUGUAGUC